rnacentral:rRNA from 1 species
UGAACCUGCGGAGGGAUCAUUACCGAGUUUACAACUCCCAAACCCAAUGUGAACGUUACCAAACUGUUGCCUCGGCGGGAUCUCUGCCCCGGGUGCGUCGCAGCCCCGGACCAAGGCGCCCGCCGGAGGACCAACCAAAACUCUUAUUGUAUACCCCCUCGCGGGUUUUUUACUAUCUGAGCCAUCUCGGCGCCCCUCGUGGGCGUUUCGAAAAUGAAUCAAAACUUUCAACAACGGAUCUCUUGGUUCUGGCAUCGAUGAAGAACGCAGCGAAAUGCGAUAAGUAAUGUGAAUUGCAGAAUUCAGUGAAUCAUCGAAUCUUUGAACGCACAUUGCGCCCGCCAGUAUUCUGGCGGGCAUGCCUGUCCGAGCGUCAUUUCAACCCUCGAACCCCUCCGGGGGGUCGGCGUUGGGGAUCGGCCCUUUACGGGGCCGGCCCCGAAAUACAGUGGCGGUCUCGCCGCAGCCUCUCCUGCGCAGUAGUUUGCACACUCGCAUCGGGAGCGCGGCGCGUCCACAGCCGUUAAACACCCCAAACUUCUGAAAUGUUGACCUCGGAUCAGGUAGGAAUACCCGCUGAACUUAAGCAUAUCAAU